rnacentral:misc_RNA from 1 species
AAGUCGUAACAAGGUUUCCGUAGGUGAACCUGCGGAAGGAUCAUUAACACGUUUCCGAACGUUCCAUUUAUCCACCCCAACCGUGACACCAGAUGUGUGACCCUCGUGGUCGCCAUCUGAACUACUCGGCCGAGGUCAUAUAUUCCAAGGAACAUAUGACUGAGAGGUCUUCUACUCAAUUCUUCUUUUUUCACCCCUUUUUUUUGACUCACCCCAUCCACCCUGAGCGGUCUGAUACGACGUGUCAUUUUGUAUGUGUGUGUUGGACUUCUACUUCGGUAUGUGUCUUUCCCUCAUGUCGUCUUGACCGAACCAUAUGGAUGUUUCCAAAUGAGUUUUUGAAAUACAACUCUUAGCAAUGGAUAUCUUGGUUCUC